GUUCCUGUAGUUUAUCCUGCUGGGGAACCACCGCAGUGAUAUUUGCCUUCAAAACUACAUUUAUGUGAAGAACUAUUGUACGUGUACAAAAAGGUGGUGAAAAAAAAAGGUGGUGAAAAACAAGCAGCAGCUGACUGUUUGACGUGAUGGUUUAAGAUAACUUCUCCCAGUCUUGUGAUAGAGUAUUUUCAAAGACAUUCUGUAAAAGUUAUACCCCUUUCCACAAAGUGUAAGAGGAGACGUGUGUCUUUACACGAAGCUUCAUCACAGAUAGCAGAGAAUAUGUUCCUGUUGUCGAAGGAGGACGUUUAAGUGAGUGAUGCAGCUUUUUCUUAAGAUUUCCAACCACAGGACUUCAGAAUAGGCAUGCUGCCUGAGAGAUAGGCUCUCACGUGAUUACAACGGCUAGUUAGAGAACUGUUAUCAGAGAAAACAGAAAUGUUAAAAGUGAUGUGACUCAGAUCCUAAUCUGUCACUGUCUGUCUCCUGCUCGAAACAUGGGGCCCCGACAGGUUAAUGGGAAACAGAACAGCACAGUCUGCCCUCAUAGUGGAGCAAGACCUGAAUAACAUAAUCAAAAGCUGAGAAGUCAGUAAUCAAACUGAAUAUAAUGAACAUGGAAAGACUAAAUGAGGAUGCUGCACACACAUAUUGAAUUGUUUGAAUAGCCCGGCUUGAGGAGGAGAAAAAAGAUCCUGACACUUCCUACAACAAUCAUCAUGCCUUCGCUGAAUGCUCUGCAGCUGCUGAGCCACAAACCCAAAUGUCGAUGUAGAUUCUGGCGCGUACUGAAAGCUGUUAUUUGCACGACAGAAGAGAAGAAAUCAGUCUUUAUCGGUGCAAAUGCUGUUUUUGUAAUACAACUUUUGCACGACUUGAGCAGAAACGGUGACAAAGCCACACAUGGAGAGCUGUGUGCGAGAGAUAAGAGCAAAAAUAAAAAGAGGCAGAGAAUUUGCAUCGAGCGGCCAACAUACCUGAACCAGCGAGGGAAGAAAUGUUUUAUAAAGGAUUAGACUCUUCUUUCUGCCUGCUCUCAGUCGGACUUCAAACCUUCCGGGUCGCCUGCUGUUCACUUCUGGGGGCUGCAGGCGUCUCACAACACUGAGCUGAAACUGAUUUUUUCAACCCAUUUUCGUGUUUCUAUUUUAACGCGGGUUAGUUUCUUGCAGAUGUUGUGGUCGCAUUAGAUAAACUCGUGCAGUGGGUAUGCGUGGGUAGCUUAUAUUGAUCAUAUUUUUUCCUGUAGACUACAGUCUGCCUAAUAUUAACAUGUCUACAUUUCAUUUAUAUAGCAUUUUAUACAUAAAAUGCAACUCACAUGCGUCACAGAUUGCACAAAAAGGCACACAUUGUAAAAAAUGCUGCUCCAAAAUCAAGUAAAAGAUGAAUAAACACAAGGUGUUUUCGCUUGGAAUAAGUAAAAAGAUCUGCCUAUAGAACAAGUGAGAAAUAGCUUGGUAAGAUUUAUUGAGAUUAGUUUGGGAUAUUUAGAUAAAUAUAUAUUGUAAUUAGCUGGGAAAAUCAGGACAUUACAAAAUAAGCCAGAAAUGCUCCAAAGAUUUCUGUUGGUGAUUGUCCAAUACAAUUUGUUUUCUUAAAUCAAGUACGAUUUAUUUCUUGAAACAAGAUGAUCCAUCUUUUACAAAUACCAUAGCAGCUUAAAUAACUUGUUUCAUCUGAGAUACAAAUCUAAAUCAAUUAUUUUCAAUUAUUUUCGAGUGUUUGACUUAAAAAGAUACAUAGACACUAUAUCUCACUGCAUUGUUCUUAAGUUAUUAUGUAUUAUAUCAAGUGUAAAGACAUUCUGUCUAGAAAUGAUACAAACUGACUUGGCAAGAGUUCAGGUUUUCACAGUGCAGGUACAGUUAUUGAAGCUGGCUGUCUCUUGUGCAUCAUCACCAACAAUAUUCUCAAAUAAACACAGAUAAGGCUGCUGUACAAACGAAUAAACUCCAGUUUAGUGAAUAUUCUAAUGAGAAUAAUGUUGCAUGUAUUUCAAAAUCUGUAUGAAAGUCAGAGCAGAAAAUAUGUGAUCUUACUCCAGCAGUGUAAAGCAGAUGAUAAUUCAACUCCUGAAUGGGGUAAAUAAAGGCCCAUCUUCUCUCUAAUGUUUAUAUUGACCUUGACAUUAUGCUGAUUUGAUGACAGCUUUGCUCAGACGCAGUUGAUCAAAUGAGCAGUGUGAUUAAAAAAAAGUGGGGGGCAUUCUAGGUCAAAACUGAAAGGGAAUGACUGGUGCUUUGAAAGCUGCAUUUUGACUGACUUAUUGAUUUGCCUGUAUUACUAUCAAUCAGCCUUCUGUUUUCAUUUUUCAGUGUGUAUGUGUGUGCCAGGUCAGGACUGCAAUGUAGAGAAGGCUAAAUAUGAAGUGUAAUCCGCUCAGCAGCAGCAUGACAGGCUGCUAAUAUGCUCUGUGCUUAGCUCAGCAGGAGAUGGCACUGCUGCCACAAGCUGGAGGAACAGCGAUCAUGUUGCCUCAUGGAUGAAAGUGUGAGGAGAUAAACAUGAUGAGCCAGGCAGGCUUUCAGAUUACCUCGUAUUCAAAAUACUUGGCUGGUGGUGAUGUAGAUGUAAUAUGUUAUCCAACUCAUUUGUAUCAAUAAAGAAUAAAAACCAAAA